GCUCCCUGGGUUAGGCGGAAGAUUCAAAAGUUCAGGGGAACAAAGGGUCAGCGAAACAUUUUAUCUCCACCAACAGUCUCCCUCCUCUCCAUCAUAACAUCCACCGCUUCACCACAUUCGUCCUCAACCCUGCCUCGUUCCUUUUCAUCUCCCUUUCUUACCUCUGUCUCCGCUAUGACAUCUGGGGACAUGCCUUCUGGAGAAAUGCCAUCUGGGGACGUGUCAUCUGGGGACGUGUCAUCUGGGGACAUGUCAUCUGGGGACAUGUCUUCUGGGGACAUGUCUUCUGGAAGCGUUGAAGAUAAGACCAUCUAGUAAAAGUUAUCUGAUCAUCAACACCAAAACAAGCAGAUUUACUUUGGGAAACUUGAAGAACUUAUUUAUGUUAAAUUGCUUUAGGAUUUUAAAAUUAUUUAUUUGGUGAAACAUUUUUUUUUGCUGUUGAUGCAGUGAAGGAUAAUAUUUAUUAUCUCUUGUAUUUAUAAAAAUUUUGAGUAAUUUAUGAAAUGGUUAUGAUAUGGCUGCAAGUUUCCUAACUCACUCAUACAUUUAUGAAACUGUUUGAGAAUUUGAAAGCUUUGUUCUUAGAGGAAAAUAUCUGCAAAAUAAAAAAAACUCUUUUAUUAAUAA